UACGGAGGGUGCAAGCGUUAUCCGGAUUUACUGGGUUUAAAGGGCGCGCAGGCGGAUAUGUAAGUCAGUGGUGAAAUCUUUGGGCUUAACCCGAAAAUUGCCAUUGAUACUAUAUAUCUUGAAUGCUGUGGAGGUAAGCGGAAUAUGUCAUGUAGCGGUGAAAUGCUUAGAGAUGACAUAGAACACCUAUUGCGAAGGCAGCUUACUACGCAGAUAUUGACGCUCAUGCACGAAAGCGUGGGGAUCAAACAGG
rnacentral:rRNA from 1 species